rnacentral:rRNA from 1 species
UACGUAGGGGGCAAGCGUUGUCCGGAUUUAUUGGGCGUAAAGAGCGUGUUGGCGGCCAGAUAGGUCUGUUGUGAAAACUCGAGGCUCAACCUCGAGACGCCGAUGGAAACCCUCCAGCUAGAGUCCGGAAGAGGAGAGUGGAAUUCCUGGUGUAGCGGUGAAAUGCGCAGAUAUCAGGAAGAACACCCGUGGCUAAGGCGGCUCUCUAGUACGGUACUGACGCUGAGACGCGAAAGCGUGGGGAGCGAACAGG